rnacentral:rRNA from 1 species
UUUCCAGAGAUGGAUUGGUGCCUUCGGGAACUCUGAGACAGGUGCUGCAUGGCUGUCGUCAGCUCGUGUUGUGAAAUGUUGGGUUAAGUCCCGCAACGAGCGCAACCCUUAUCCUUUGUUGCCAGCGGUUAGGCCGGGAACUCAAAGGAGACUGCCAGUGAUAAACUGGAGGAAGGUGGGGAUGACGUCAAGUCAUCAUGGCCCUUACGAGUAGGGCUACACACGUGCUACAAUGGCGCAUACAAAGAGAAGCGACCUCGCGAGAGCAAGCGGACCUCAUAAAGUGCGUCGUAGUCCGGAUUGGAGUCUGCAACUCGACUCCAUGAAGUCGGAAUCGCUAGUAAUCGUGGAUCAGAAUGCCACGGUGAAUACGUUCCCGGGCCUUGUACACACCGCCCGUCACACCAUGGGAGUGGGUUGCAAAAGAAGUAGGUAGCUUAACCUUCGGGAGGGCGCUUACCACUUUGUGAUUCAUGACUGGGGUGAAGUCGUAACAAGGUAAGCGUAGAUGA